GUGGUUAAUUGAUCUAAUAAAAUAUAAAGAAGAUAAAUUGUUCCAAAUAAAUAUAUUUAUUUAAUUAAUAAUUAUUGUUACAGUUCAACAUGCAAAUGAGCUACAAUAUAAGACUUUGGCUGUUGAGUGGAGCUACAGUUUGUUAUGUUUUCUCGUCAUCCAUCGUGGUUAUCUUUAUCAUCUUUGGUGUUGUUGACGUCUUCGUUAUUGACUGAUGUGUUGAGUUUAACUUUGUCUUCAUGUGAAGUCAUUUUGGUGUCGACCUGUUUUUUUUGAAGUCUUUAUGGACAAUUGUAGAAAUGUUGAAUUGAAGAGAGAUUUUUGCUUAUUUUGUAUUGACAAGUUGUUUGUUAGAAAUUUUGGUUAGUUAACACCUUGUUAGUUCAAUUUAUUCUGUUUUUUAAUAAAAGUUAAUUGGUUUAUUUAUGGAGCAUUGUUGUUGGGGCCUAUGUUAUCUAACAAGAUGGUUGGAAGAUAACAAAGUUGAUGUCUCUAUUAAAAUAAGUGUUAAAAAGAAGGAAAGGGCGGAAAUGGCAAGGGGGUUGAAUCUAAGCAGAAGCUUGGAUGCUAUGCCAUACUUCUCAACUUUAAACACCAUUCUAUUCUAUCUAUUAAAUAUCAACAUCAAUGACAAUAUAGAAGCAUGCCAGAAGAAAAAUAAAGGAUUAUUUGUUAAAAAAAGCUAAUAUUGCUAUUCAAUAGAAUAUGAAUUUAUUGCACAAAAAAAUAAUUUCUUUUAAAUAUAAUGAAAAAAUACAUAUAUAGAAACAAAAACAAAUAUAUUUUGUUUAAAGC
rnacentral:lncRNA from 1 species